rnacentral:rRNA from 14 species
GUACCGUGAGGGAAAGGUGAAAAGCACCCCGACAAGGGGAGUGAAAUAGUACCUGAAACCGAUUGCCUACAAACAGUGGGAGCCUGAAAUGGUGACCACGUACCUUUUGUAUAAUGGGUCAGCGACUUAGUGUGACGAGCAAGCUUAAGCCGGUAGGUGUAGGCGCAGCGAAAGCGAGUCUGAACAGGGCGUUCAGUUCGUCGCAUUAGACCCGAAACCAAGUGAUCUAGCCAUGAGCAGGCUGAAGGUAAGGUAACACUUACUGGAGGGCCGAACCCGCAUCUGUUGCAAUAGAUUGGGAUGACUUGUGGCUAGGGGUGAAAGGCCAAUCAAACUUGGAAAUAGCUGGUUCUCCGCGAAAUCUAUUUAGGUAGAGCGUCGACCGAAUACCCUCGGGGGUAGAGCACUGGAUGGGCUAGGGGGUCUCACCGACCUACCAAACCUAACCAAACUCCGAAUACCGAGGAGUACUAGUCGGCAGACACACGGCGGGUGCUAACGUCCGUCGUGAAAAGGGAAACAACCCUGACCAGCAGCUAAGGUCCCCAAGUCAUGGCUAAGUGGGAAAGGAUGUGAGGAUCCCAAAACAACCAGGAUGUUGGCUUAGAAGCAGCCAUCAUUUAAAGAAAGCGUAAUAGCUCACUAGUCGAGUCGGCCUGCGCGGAAGAUGUAACGGGGCUCAAACCAUACACCGAAGCUACGGGUAUCACCUUCGGGUGAUGCGGUAGAGGAGCGUUCUGUAAGCCUGUGAAGGUGAGUUGAGAAGCUUGCUGGAGGUAUCAGAAGUGCGAAUGCUGACAUGAGUAACGAUAAAGAGGGUGAGAGACCCUCUCGCCGAAAGUCCAAGGGUUCCUGCUUAAAGUUAAUCUGAGCAGGGUUAGCCGGCCCCUAAGGCGAGGCCGAAAGGCGUAGUCGAUGGGAAUCACGUUAAUAUUCGUGAGCCUGGAGGUAGUGACGGAUCGCGUAUGUCGUUUGACCUUAUCGGAUUGGUCAGGCGGCGGAGCGGUUCCAGGAAAUAGCUCCUCCUUAUAGUCCGUACCCUAAACCGACACAGGUGGACAGGUAGAGUAUACCAAGGCGCUUGAGAGAACUCUGCUGAAGGAACUAGGCAAAAUGGUACCGUUACUU